ACGGCCGCAUCACACCAAAACAUUGGUUCCCAUACGAUCACCGAAGUUAAGUAUCGUCGAGUUUAGUAAGUAGAUAGGUGACUGCUUAGGAAUACCAGGUGAUGUAAG